ACGGAAGGCAGCAGUGGGGGAUAUUGCACAAUGGGGGAAACCCUGAUGCAGCAACGCCGCGUGAGUGAAGAAGUGUUUCGGUAUGUAAAGCUCUAUCAGCAGGGAAGAUAAUGACGGUACCUGACUAAGAAGCUCCGGCUAAAUACGUGCCAGCAGCCGCGGUAAUACGUAUGGAGCAAGCGUUAUCCGGAUUUACUGGGUGUAAAGGGUGCGUAGGUGGCAUAGUAAGUCAGAUGUGAAAUACCGGGGCUCAACCCCGGAGCUGCAUUUGAAACUGCCAAGCUGGAGUACAGGAGAGGCAAGCGGAAUUCCUAGUGUAGCGGUGAAAUGCGUAGAUAUUGGGAGGAACACCAGUGGCGAAGGCGGCUUACUGGACGAGAACUGACGCUGAGACACGAAAGCGUGGGGAGCAAACAGGAUUAGAUACCCUGGUA
rnacentral:rRNA from 1 species